UCCUUCCGGAGGCUCUGCUUCUGGUGCUGAUGAGAUGGGGCAAGGACAAUCUUGCUGCCCCCACCUUCCUGACGCAGGAGGAAGUGGCCGUGCUGGGUUGAAGGUCCUGGUGGGAAGAUGUCAUUGAGAAAUUGUCCCUGACCUAAUGGGUCCUAGUGCAGAUGGCAGCAUGUGAAUAAAGAUGGAAGAAGCAGCCUAG